rnacentral:rRNA from 1 species
GUCUACAGCCAUGCCACCCUGAACAAGCCUAAUCCUGUCUGAUCUCAGAAGCUAAGCAGGGUUGGGCCUGGUUAGUACUUGGAUGGGAGACCACCUAGGAAGACCAGGUGCCAUAAAAA